rnacentral:rRNA from 1 species
UACGUAGGUGGCAAGCGUUGUCCGGAUUUACUGGGCGUAAAGAGCGCGCAGGCGGUUCGUUCAAGUCGCGUGUGAAAGCCCCCGGCUCAACUGGGGAGGGUCACGCGAUACUGAUCGACUGGAAGGCAGGAGAGGGUAGUGGAAUUCCCGGUGUAGUGGUGAAAUGCGUAGAUAUCUGGAGGAAUACCGGUGGCGAAGGCGGCAUCCUGGACCGACAUUGACGCUGAGGAGCGAAAGCCAGGGGAGCAAAGCGGG